GGGGCCCGGGCUGCCGUGUGGGAGCCGCCGCUGCCGUGUGGGAGCCGCCGCUGCGGGUCGGGGCAAGGCGGCAGCCCCGGGCUUGCCCUCACUCACUGUCCCAACUGUGUUUAAAUAAAGGACAGCCCGGCCCGGUGCCACCAAAGCCGCUCCAUCACCGCCCUCCUCAGCGGGGCAAGGGAGAGCAAACGGAAGGGAAGGCUGGGGGGCGAGAGCAGAGCAGGGGGGAUCUCUCACCCAGCACCGCAGGUAGAAGUUUGCUGAGCCUUUAAUUUCAACCCUCCCAAGAGUUCAUAUGAUGGUAAAAAAAAAAAAGCAUUGAAGCUGUUUCAGUGUGGUACCAAGGCUUUCCCUCAAGUAUAAAUACAGAAAGAUGAGAAAGUUAAAACACCUGAGGAACACACUUUAUUUACAAGAACUUCUGAGGAUCCAUUUCAUUGCAAGGUAAAGCAGAGUAAUGCAACAUUGCAGUAAGAACAGGAAAGUAUUUCCAGGAACAGAAGUAGCAGCUUAGCCUGUUUUUCAGAAAUGCAUUUUUACUGACUAAUUAGCAUAAUAUCUCCUGAAGUGGCCUUGGGGCUUUUCUCUCUGCAUAUCCUUUUCCUCAGAUGCAGGUUUAUGUUUGUUCCCUGAGCCCACAGUGCUUGCUGUGGAAUAAAGCCUGUUACGUACCCAUGGUAAAGAGCUAAACUGUAAACUCUUGCAAGCUUUCCAAGAACCAGUGGAAUCUCAUGCCAGCUUUCCAUGUAAAAAUCUUUUUCAUUUCCUGCAGGACUUGCCAAACUCCAUCUAAUGGGGCUUUAGGGUCUGUUUUGCUGGGAGCCAAGGGGGGAAACCAGGUCCCACCCUCUGCCAGCUGCGAGAGCUCCUCAUCCAGAAUGUGCUCACAGAACAGUGCGGAUUCUGGUUUUUAAAUUACAGCAAUUGCUCCCUUCCUGUGCGCUGUGGCUCUGCAGAUUCAGGGUGCAUCUUUGAACGUGUCUCAGGAGCAUGAGGUACUGGCAAGUGUUUGUUGUGAGUGCCUAUAACUGGAGCAGAGCCCAGGAGCAGGAGGAAGAUGCACUCUUAUUGUGAUCAGACUCUUUCCUCUGGCACUGGGCCUGGAGUGCAGGGCCCUGGCAAUGGCCUUAGAAAAAUAAACAUCUUAAUUCUUUUCCUCACUGGAACAAAUAAGGACACAAGCUGCCUGAGGAGCUCCAGAGGAUACAUCUGAAGGACCCGUAUCUCCUCUGGCAAAGCAGUACAAAUAUUGGUGCUGUCUUUGGAAAGGCUUGAGCUUAUCUCUCCUGUUCUUGGGCAGGUGUGGGAGGGCUGCUGUCCUGCACAUGAAUAAUUGGUGUCAUAGGUCAGAUACACUGUUCCUGUCAUCAGCAGACUGGGACACUUAGGGAACCAACAACUGUUGUGAAAACAAGUUCCCCUCCCUGCCCAAUUUCCUGUGCUAGAUUGAGCAAUUUGGGUCAGAAAAGUGUCUCAUGACUGGUAACAGAGCUCAGCACCCAUGGAAAACCACUUUGCCCUGGGCCCCAGUGGAUUGCAUCCAGCCCUGGGCAAGGAGUGUGUGAA